AUUUGAGGAACGUAAUCAAUUGCGGACGUGCACAGACAGCUCAGACACAGAGCGCAUAUAGGCCUAGGUUAGGCUACUUUCACUUUCUAGAGUGCGCAUUCAUUACGUAAAAGAUGUUUCAUAC